rnacentral:rRNA from 1 species
AAACCAACAGGGAUUGCCUCAGUAACGGCGAGUGAAGCGGCAAAAGCUCAAAUUUGAAAUCUGGUACCUUUGGUGCCCGAGUUGUAAUUUGAAGAUAGUUUUCUGGUGCUGGCCCUUGUCUAUGUUCCUUGGAACAGGACGUCACAGAGGGUGAGAAUCCCGUCUGGCGGGGUGUCCAGUGCUUUGUAGAUUUCUAUCGACGAGUCGAGUUGUUUGGGAAUGCAGCUCUAAGUGGGUGGUAAAUUCCAUCUAAAGCUAAAUAUUGGCGAGAGACCGAUAGCGAACAAGUACAGUGAUGGAAAGAUGAAAAGAACUUUGAAAAGAGAGUGAAAAAGUACGUGAAAUUGUUGAAAGGGAAGGGUAUUAGAUCAGACUUGGUGUUUUGUGAUUAUCUUCCCUUCUUGGGUUGUGCACUCGCAUUUCACUGGGCCAGCAUCGGUUCGGGUGGUAAGAUAAUGACAUUGGAACGUGGCACUGCCUUCGGGUGGUGUGUUAUAGCCCUUGUUGAUGUUGCCUAUCUGGACCGAGGACUGCGGCUUUUGCCUAGGAUGCUGGCGUAAUGAUCUAACACCGC